UGGUGAAUAUUGCACAAUGGGCGCAAGCCUGAUGCAGCCAUGCCGCGUGUGUGAAGAAGGCCUUCGGGUUGUAAAGCACUUUCAGCGAGGAGGAAGGUGGUGGACUUAAUACGUUCAUCAAUUGACGUUACUCGCAGAAGAAGCACCGGCUAACUCCGUGCCAGCAGCCGCGGUAAUACGGAGGGUGCAAGCGUUAAUCGGAAUUACUGGGCGUAAAGCGCACGCAGGCGGUUUGUUAAGUCAGAUGUGAAAUCCCCGGGCUCAACCUGGGAACUGCAUUUGAAACUGGCAAGCUAGAGUCUCGUAGAGGGGGGUAGAAUUCCAGGUGUAGCGGUGAAAUGCGUAGAGAUCUGGAGGAAUACCGGUGGCGAAGGCGGCCCCCUGGACGAAGACUGACGCUCAGGUGCGAAAGCGUGGGGAGCAAACAGAUUAGAUACCCUGGUAGUCCACGCUGUAAAACGAUGUCGAUUUUGGAGGUUGUGCCCCUUGAGGCGUGGNUUCCGGAGCUAACGCGUUAAAUCGACCGCCUGGGGAGUACGGCCNCAAGGUUAAAACUAAAGGAAUUGC
rnacentral:rRNA from 1 species